rnacentral:lncRNA from 1 species
CAUUUAAGGGCCAGCCACUGAAGGGAGGGUAUCUCUUGGAUCUAGGCUGCUUCCUGAGGAGGAGUGUUCUGUAGCUAGUGAUCUUCACAAAUUGGUAGAAGUCCCAGACUAGAUGAACUUUUGCCUUCAGAGCUAGCUGGUGCCUCAGGGCUUGUUUUGGAGAACAUUACCUUGAAAGACUGCCUCACCAAGUGAAAUUUGAGCCUUCUGAGCCUUGAGAAACUUGUAAUUGUAGAUUUCUGAGUUUUCAGACUGAAAGAAUUGUGCGCGCUGGUGUCUGCAGCAAAACACAGGCUAGGAUAAAGGCAAAGAAAUGUGCAUGGAAAUUGUAGUUAAGUCAUGUCUCAUGGCCAUUUUGUAAUUAUUCCAUUUGCCAGAAAGUGAGAAGGUUUUGAAAUACACUGCAGAGCAAGCUAAUUCCUGACGUUUCUGAUUAUAUAAUGUGACAUCUAACCUAAAAGCAAAUCACCUUAAAUUAAAACAUCUGCAUCACAGCUGUCUUCAUUUUGUAUUUUUUCCCCUUUACCUUUAUGGUAUGCUGAUACCUUGCUUGUAAUUAAAGGGAUGGACAAAAAACGGUUAAUUUUGAAAAUUUAUAUAUGUAAACAAAAUAAUUUAGUUUCCUAUUCAAUACUUCAGUCUCUAGAGUACUAGAAGUAGUGCAACUCUCUUAUGAGCAGUCUAGAGUGCUGACAACUGAUUUUAAUUCUUUUGGACAAUUGUGACAGAGAAGAGAACUCUGCACCUGAAUAUCAAUGCUGAUGACUUUUACAUUUGUCAUACUGGGUUAGAGACCUCUGAUCAUUUGAGACCAGUUUAAACAAUUGCAGACAUUACUAGUGUUUCUACUGAUCCAGUAAUUUCUACUCAGUUUAUACUAACUGCUUGAAAUUUCAAGUGAGUUAGUGGUGGCAGUUCUAUAGUGUUUUGUCUGUCGUUGGAAGACUUUUGGCACCAAUAAAUGCUAACUGUAUUAGAAAAAGACCUAGAGUGAAGAAACCAAUGCAUGGAUCGCAACAACUGUCCUCAGAGAUAUUUGAUAUGUGUUGAUAAUUGUUUUUACAAAGUUUGAAGGAAAAUUUUAAUUUGAGUAGCUGAAAUUCCAGAAUGUUCUAGGUAGUGAUAUGAAAUGUGGAAAGCAAAUUCUUCUGUCUUUUGUGCAGCUUUUAACACACAGAACAGUUAAUGAGAGAUACAGAGGAAGGAUUUCUGUGAAUUUUUCUGGGUGUGGUUAACAAGACCUCUGUGCUGCCUGGAACUGAGUGGUUCAAGGUAUGUUCAAUAGCAAAAAUGUGGUGCCCUGGAGAUCUUAAUUCUGGAAGUACAAUGGUGACUUUGGGAUAUGUCUAUGCCAUAAAACUGAAGACUGAUAUUGAUAGACAAGAAGCGGUAUAUGGCAGAUGGAAUGCAGCUACAGCAUUAGACUAAAAUGGUUAUGUCACUUUCUGAGUUUAUGCACUCUGAUAUGAAUAAUAAAUUUACUGGUUCAUUAGGAAUUACUUUAAAUACUUCUGUAUAGUGCUAUGCUUGUACUAUAAAGCUAUGGAAAUUCUUGUUAUUCUGAUGCUUUAACUGUAGUAACCUUCAGUGUAAGUUUACCUGAAGUUUAACAGCUAAAAAUGCAGUCCCAUUUCUUCCGAGUAACUUUUCACUAGAGUAGAAGCAAUUGUAUUUUCCUGUGGUGGAGGUUAUGAGGCCCUGCUCCUCGACAAGAAUUUCCAAGUGCAGAAAAGGUGGCAGAAAGAACUGUUAAACUGUAGACUACCAAUGUAACAAGGCUUCUGUCAUCCUCCAAUAAGCCAAAUAACAGUGAGAUUCUCACUUGACUAGAAUGGAGAGCUGAGUCUUUUCGUUGGUUUCCUUCUACCAUGUUUACAUUAUAGAUGCAUAAUGAUUCUGAAUGCUUGCUGAAAUUUUAACUUAGGUUUGUAUUAUACUGUGUGGUUAAAAAAAAAAAAAACAUGGAACACAUGACACAUGUGCGUUUUCUUUACCAAGAACAUGCUUUAGAUGAUAUUACACCGUGCUGACAUGAAUGAUAAUGAAGUUGCAUUAAAAAUACACUAUAUGUUUUUUUUUUAUUCCUUGAGUAUUCAGGAUUUAUAUUUUGGGGGAACAUAAUUUUCAAGCAAAAUUGUUAUUUAAUGUUACAGUUAAAGACUAAGAAAUGCAGAAAUGUGCAAAAAUAUUGAAAAUGAAAUACUUUCAGUAACAUUUAUCUCUACACACAGGAAGGUGAAAUCUGCAUGUAGGUUUGUAUCACUUCAUAAAAGAAACAGGAAACUUAUCAGUGUUUUCAAGCAGAUUCUAAUUAGAAUUUCUGACAUCUGUAAUGCAUACUAUAUGAGGACUGCAUAUUAAAUACUGAGAUGCAUGAAGCUGAGACCUUAAUGAAGCUAAAAGAUAAAUGUAUUUUCUUCAACCUGGG